GAUGAAGAACAUAGCGAAAUGCGAUAAGUAAUGUGAAUUGCAGAAUUCAGUGAAUCAUCGAAUCUUUGAACGCACAUUGCGCCCCCUGGUAUUCCGGGGGGCAUGCCUGUUCGAGCGUCAUUUCACCACUCAAGCCUCGCUUGGUAUUGGGCAACGCGGUCCGCCGCGUGCCUCAAAUCGACCGGCUGGGUCUUCUGUCCCCUAAGCGUUGUGGAAACUAUUCGCUAAAGGGUGUUCGGGAGGCUACGCCGUAAAACAACCCCAUUUCUAAGGUUGACCUCGGAUCAGGUAGGGAUACCCGCUGAACUUAAGCAUAUCAAUAAGCGGAGGA
rnacentral:misc_RNA from 1 species